rnacentral:tRNA from 1 species
UUAUUUCUAUUAUAAUAAGUAUAAUAAUUUUAGAAAUUAUUGGUAAUGAAAUAUA